rnacentral:lncRNA from 1 species
AAUUAUUUUAUUUCGCGUGGUUAUGAUGACUCUACUACCGUUCUGCUUGUCAGGAAAAGCUUUUUUGAUCUUAAUCCAAGCCUCUAUAUCCCAUAUGUCAUCAAUUACGACCAAGUAACCAUCACAAUCUACCAGUAACUUUCUCAGGUGCUGCAGCAAGUCAAUUUCAUCCAUCUUCAUAAAAUCCAGUUCAUGUCCCAGUACAUGUCUCCCGAAAGACUUUAUCAUCGUCUUCAGAACAUCUUUGAUGUUAUAUUCCUGGGAGACACAGACCCAAGCACGACUCUUAAAAUGGCUCACUUUGCUAGAGUGGUAUAAUUUACUAGCAAGUGUAGUCUUGCCCAAACCCCCCAUGCCAUGAAUGGAAAUCAGUUUAAGCGAGAGAUCCUCACUAACAAGUUCAUCCAACAAAGUCUUGAAAUCAUCCUCAAAACCAACCACAUCCACCUGGUUUUCAAAGGAGGUUGCUCUAAGCAAUGUUCUUUUCCUCCUUUCCACCAUCUGCGUGGCUAAGAUGUUGGUAAUACCAUAUUCAUCUCGCCUGCUCUUGAUCACAACAACCCUUCCCUUGAGCAACUCAAUCUCUUUGCCUAUAUCAUAUAAACUGGCUUCCUUCCUGCACAAGCAGACAGAGCUCACAGAGCUCCACAAACAAUCCAUCAAACCUUCUUUCCGGACUGCAUGUUCUUCUUCGAGGGCACUAAACCUCUCCAGGAUAAUUAAAGCAUCAUUAGCAACGUCUUUGACGUUAUUCAUCCAUUGCCAGAUCGGGGGAUCCAUUUCUUGUCUUGCUUCUGCACCUCUCACCGAAGAUUGUAGGUAACCCAACUCAUCUUUGAGCCACCUUACACCAUCUUCCACUCCUAUCCUUGUGUUGACUCUUUGGGUAAGAAAAACAUUAAGCUUUUCAAUUGCAAAGGAAACAGCUGCAUCAGCCAUUUUUCUCUAUCAACUAGAAACAGCCAAACAGGCAGAAAGUAUUUGAAUGUUCUUGCAAACAGAAAAAACCAAAUGUAGGACAAUACCAAUAUGCAUCAACUAAUCAAAUUUGGUGUUGCAACUUUGCGAAGAAUCUGAGCAUUAUAUACAACUCAAUUAGAUUCAAAUAUAAUCUAAAAAAAUUGUAUUCCUUAACUUCAUUUCAGAUCUUAAAAUAAAAAUGUUGAGUUGUUUUAGACUUUAGUUGCAGUUCUGGCCAACUGGGGGGCCAAGUUCUUGGUAAUGUGUCACUUGAUGAGGCUCACAAGUCACAAUCCACUUGAAAGGACACCACUUUUCAGACACUAAACCCACUUUUCACUGUUAUUGCUAACGUCUUUAAUCAUUGAAGUCUGGUAUGUAGGAGGAUCAGAGUUUCAUCUAUAACAGAGGGAAAGAAAUAUUAUGAUUACUAAUUUACUAUUGUGCAUUUGAACUAAAAUGACUGGCAAAUUAGUAUAUUUUAAGGUAGUUAAAUGAGUUGUAGAGCUCAACUUAACAUGAUGAACUCUAUUGAUUGGAUGAGGUCUGAAUUCGAGAUUAGUUGUUUAACUGUUAACUCUGCAGAAGCUGACAUGAUAUUAUGAUGUCAGACUUUUGCAAAGAAAUAUGUUUUUAACCCAAAUUCUUAAAAUUAUAUAUUAAUUUUAUGAAAUGUUGAGCACUAUUUUUGUUAAAUUGGAGGUAUGACAGAUCGUUAACAAUAUAUAUACUUGCCAGUAAAAAGCAGUGUUGUAAAAAAAGGAUGACAUGCACGAACAAUUGACCAUAUGAAUCAGAGAUCAACAGGUCAUAUAUUCACUCAAUUUUAGGAAUCACGGAAUAAUGAUUAAUUAGAACUAAUCAGAUUAUAACACGUUUACAGUCGCUUGUACAAAACAAAGGGUGAAGACCAGAAAACUCAAACACUACUUUAAAAACAAAGCACAAGCACAAAAAGGGGAACUUCUAGUUCUAUGAUUCCCCGUCUCAGCACAAGUCAUACUCCUCGAAGUUUUGCAUACUUUCCCUGUCUGAGUAUCCGAAUCAAUGUCCGAAAACGAAGAGUACGUGGCGAAGACCUUCUUACUUGAUCCACAGCAAGACUCUUGUCUUGCUCGCUUUGCAGACCGCCAUCCGAUCUUGCAAGGAAGCUUUAAACAGCACCAGAAGAUGGACAGAGGGCAACACACGCAGAACAGGCAUGCAUUGCACACGAACUCCGUGACUUUUUGGCCAAUCGUUGCAUGUUUUUUGCACUCAUGACAAGAAGAGAACGAAGAUGAAUUUGAAAGCUUAGAAUUCACCAUAGCUUGUGUUACGGGGAAAGAAUACUUCUACCUUAUCUCUCUUUUUUACUUUACCACCGUCUGUUAUGUAUAGCUUUUUAAGUAUUUGAUCACUUUCUUCAUAAGAUGGAAUGAUUCUUAUCACAUGGUCCUCAAGCACUUAACCCAAUUUGACCAAAAACAUCAACUUUUUUUAUACUAUAACACAGCAGUUUUUAAUAGCACUCCCAAACAUACCNAAAUCCCCGAUUUCUUUUGGCAUCCUGUCUGAUUUUACACAGCUCAAAUCUAGCGUUUUUAGAUAUUUGAAUCUUGUGUAAAUACACUUCAACUCUUCUAAUUUGAAAAAACUCCCAGGUUCAUUUGUUAUUGCCAAUGAUCGCAACUUCAAAUAAUUAGAACUCGAUGCAUGUAAUUUUAAGUACUUACCAAUUCCAUUGUAUAUGGCAUGACGUGGUUGUUCAUUCAACAAGUGUAUGGGGCUUGAAUGAUCUUUACUUGAGUCAAAAAUUAGCAACAACUUCUCCUCUGAGGCCUUUUGUAUGGCAAGAUCACGCACAAGAUCAUGGAUACGGCAGUCCCAAACAUGUCCAUCCCAACGAAAUGUUGCUAUCUGAAUCAUAUUGCGAUUAAUUAACUCAUUUAAAUAGUCCUCAGACACAUCCUCCAUAACUAAUCCAUCUCCUUCAUCAGCUUCUGAUAUAAAUUCCUCUGCAAUCCAUAACAACUUUAAAUUGUUAACUUCAAAAGUAUGGUCUUCUGGAAACCUUGCAAGGUAUAGAAAACAUCGUCUCAGCUGGAAAGACAAGUCAUAAUAACUCAAGCUUAGUAUUUCUUGAAUCUCCACAGAAUCAGCCUUCAAUUUUCUCCAAAGAUGGUCCUUCACCAAUGACCAAUCCUCAUAGCUCUUCUUGUGCAGUAAUAGCCCACUUAGUAUCAUGAUUGCAAGUGGUAACCCUCCACAUUUACAUACCAUCUGCUUUCCUAACUUCUCAAGGUUCGGGGUUGGUUUUGCUCUCUUUAGGAAUAAUUGCCAGCUCUCAUCUUCCCUUAGAAAGCGGAGUGGAUGGACAAAACAUCUGUCAUCUACUUUCUGAGCAAUUAUUUUAUUUCGCGUGGUUAUGAUGACUCUACUACCGUUCUGCUUGUCAGGAAAAGCUUUUUUGAUCUUAAUCCAAGCCUCUAUAUCCCAUAUGUCAUCAAUUACGACCAAGUAACCAUCACAAUCUACCAGUAACUUUCUCAGGUGCUGCAGCAAGUCAAUUUCAUCCAUCUUCAUAAAAUCCAGUUCAUGUCCCAGUACAUGUCUCCCGAAAGACUUUAUCAUCGUCUUCAGAACAUCUUUGAUGUUAUAUUCCUGGGAGACACAGACCCAAGCACGACUCUUAAAAUGG